AACCCCAUACCACUCUAUGAAACACGGUUAGGAAAAUACAAAAGAAUUCACUCAUACUUUCAGGUUGAAAUUACAUUGCUUCUUAGUUGAGAUCUAGUUUCAUUAAAGAAACUGAGAGAUAAGAUUAUUUCUUUAUAUUUAUUUCUAUACAAUUUUUAAGUAGUUGUAAAAUGGGAUUUCAAUUCAACAUACUAAUUUGUGGAGUAUAAUGCAUCUUCAUCAGAGGUAAGAUUUAAAAAUAGUUGGCAGAGAUCAAGUUCCUAAACAAAUCAAAUUUGCCAAGACUUUUUCAAACUGUGUAUUAAUUUUCAGUGUCUGAUAGUGGCCUGCUCCAGACACUUCAAGGGAAGUCCAUUUGUCUCUGACCAAUGAAGCCCAAAGGACUCACUGCACAAAAGAACUCCUUUCUUGUCUCCAAUUUAUGUCUAGAAUCUGAAGGUUCAUAGCUUCCUUUUGCUUUUGUGAGUCUGCACAGGCACGGUUCCUCCUGCAUGAUUUGGUCUGGAGGAAGUGACCCACCCACAACCCCACAGAGCUAAUUAACCCCACACUGAGCAUUUUUCUCUCAUUUCACACAUCCACUCGGUGUUUUAAAUGACCCAGCAGCAGAUCAUAUAAUUUUUUCCCCCUCAGUGAGGAAAGCAUGGUAUUGGGAAGAGAGAUCUACUUGUUCUCAUUCAGCCCAGUGGUGUGAUCCUAAAACAAUAUCAACUAUCAUUUUAUCUAAGGUUGCAGUAAUAGUUGAAAAAUCCUUGAAGGAAUCAAUUUUAUAUCAUUCACUCAAAUUCUUGCAGUGCUUAUUAUAAGUAACAAAUAAUUUAUAAUAAAUACUGAGGUAGAGAACUUUGAUCUAUAUUCAGAACAUUAAAAAAAACUCAUCUUAAUGAAAAAAAAAAAUAAAGCAGCCACAGGCUCCUGCUCUAUCUUGAACAGCCACAAGAGAAAGAACUGAGCUGAGAAUUAUAUCACUCAUCUUCUUUUCACUUCAAGGAAUAGACUCAUGUUUCUCCAAGUUUAUUUUAUUUUUUGCAAAAGUGAAUACUUGGAAGACUACAAGAUCACUGUUUUCUAACUUUCUAAAAAAGAAGAAGUGAACAUGAUGAUAGUGGGUGAUUUAAUGGAAUCAGUUUGUCAACAUGAUGGAACUGAAAAAGCUUUUACAGAAUAUGCGUGCCCAUGCUAAGCAACAACAAAAAUCCUCUAAAACCCACCUUUAACUUAAUGUAUGGAGUAUAGAGUGGAUUUUUCCCCCAUGACAAAAGAAAGAAAUAUUAUUAAUUUGGACAGUAAAUAUAAUGUUCUGCUAAAAACCUCUGUAGUAAGCCACAGAAUUGCAUCCUCACCAGACAAAUGAAGACAGGCAAGUUCUAGGUUUUAUAAAACAGUCAUAAGAGUUUUAAGCUCAGUUGUUUGGUAAGUGACAAGAAAAAUUCUAGGCAAUUUCACUCUGUUCUGGUAGUACCUGGACUAAGAGUUUUAAAGAUUUAGAGAUAAUAGAUGUUUUUAAAAUAAAAUCUGUUUUGUUUAC